rnacentral:lncRNA from 1 species
GAGCUCCCAAAACAAAAAAAAAAGAAAAAAAAAGAAGAGGAAGAAGGAACAGAGGUGGCGACGUUGAGAGGAAGAAGAAGAUAAAGAGGGAGAGGGAGAGGAUGGGUGAGAGAGGAAGAGGCGGGAUGAGGGUUUUGGAGAAAAAGUGAGAUUUAAAUGGGGUAUUUUGGUCCAAAAAAUAGCUUCCCGACAAACCUGAAAACAGCAUUUUCGGAAAGCUCCAAAUUGGAGCUUCUUCCCAAAAGCUGUUUUUAGCUUC